GCUUUAAAUUUCAAAGAGAUCUUCUAAUUCCUGUCAAUAAUGUGGCAGAAUGAUGGGUACUUAUUUGCUUUCAAAGAAUGGGUACAAGAGGGGCAUAAACACACACCUAACACUUGAGCCACGCCUGUGAUGCCAUGUCCUAUGCCACCCAUAUCACCAGCACAUCCCUCUGUCUCUGGUCUUCCAAGCAGAGAAGGGCCAGUGAGCUCAAACUUGGCUUCCUCCUUAUCUGGCCCUCAGGAGUAAAUGGGCCAUUUCCCUAGCACUGUCAGGACACAAGAUGGCAAGAAGUGCCUCCCCGCCUGCCAUUGUUUUACAUUUUCCCCAAAGGAAGAGCUGAUUUACUGCCUAUGCCCUCCAGUCAGGAGCUGUGGCUGCCCCAUGUGUCUGGCACAGCAUAGCAGAAGAGGAAAUGCCCACGCCACCUGAGGAAGUAGCUAACAAGGAAGUCUCACCACCCCUCAGAAUAUUGGGUGCCUCAAGAGACUGCAUAAGAGAAUCAGGGCUUGCCUGUGAAGAUUCUGUUGCAUCCUGAGGACACCAAAGACAAAAACCCACCAUAUAUCUUCCAAAUGUGGCUCCUGUGAAAGAGACAGGAAGCAGAACCAAGGAAAAUGUAGACAAGUAUGGGAGGGCGCAUCACAACCUUGACCUUGGUCACUACACUAUCCUACAUCAUCAGCCUCUUGCAGAUUCUAGAAACAUAAAAGUGGGUGCAUCUAGUUACUGAGUGUGCCCCAGUAGGCAAGUUCUUUGACCAUGAAUGACGGUCCCUUCAGGAGGGAGAUGCAAAGAAAACAUUCAGGCAGAAUCGCUUCCAUGCCUGCCAUUGCUUCACGUUGUCCCAAGAACAGAGGCAUUUACUGCCUGUGCCCUCCAUUUAGGAGCUGUGGCUGCCCCGUGCGUCUGCAGUUGGAUAUCAGAAGAGGAAAUGCUCAUGGCCACCUGAGACUCUUUAUAAGGAAAUCUCACCACCCCUGGAGAAUAUUGGGUGCUUCAAGAGACUGUGUAAGAGAAUCAGGACUUGCCUGUCAAGACUCUGUGGCUACACAAGGGCUCUAAAGACAAACACCCACCAUUUACCUUCAAAAUGUGGCGCCUCUCAAAGAGACAGGAAGCAGACCCAAAGAAAGUGUCAACAAGUAUGGGCUGGUCACUACCCCAUGCUACACCAUCAGCCUCUCCCAGGCUCUAGUAACAGCAAGUCGGGUCCAUCUUGUUGCUGAGUGUGCCCCAGGAGGACACUUCUCUGACCUGACAGUGGAGGAUGGCCUGCAGGAGGAGGGAGAGGCAAUGAAAACAAUCAGGCAGACAGUGUCAGCCUUGACAUUGUCCGUCGAGGCAGGAGACCCAGCUUUCCCUCGGACAUGCAGAAGAUGACGCCUCCGUCCUACAGGAGCUGGUGCAUGUGGGGUCAGGAAGGACAUAGCUCUCUGACGAUGAGGGCAGGUGGUCAUUACUGCAGAGGAUCACAUCUCAAUACCAAUGCUGAUCUGGAAACAGAGUAAAACCCUCCUCCCUGAGCAAGGUAUGCAGGAAUAUGUGAGGCUGUUGUUCACAGGAACAAAUGUCCAGGUGGAAUAUAAUGUGAUGGUGUGGUGCCCGGCAGAGGGACAAAGAUCAAGGCUCUAAUGGGCCACCUCAGCAUCUCCCUGCGGUCGAGAAGAACACCCAGUGCUGAGCUGCUUGUUUGCUGUAUCAGUGUGGAGCGUCUGCCAAGAAUGGACAUCAGCAUCUGUAGACAAGAGAGAGACCAGAUUCCUACACGUUUGUUCUGCAUGCCUACCCAGUAAGACAACAGUCAAGCCAUUAAUGUAGUG
rnacentral:sRNA from 1 species